rnacentral:tRNA from 1 species
GGAACAGAAGCAAAAGUGGUCGAUGCGCUGGCUUGUCAAGCCAGAGAAAGCGGGUUCAAGUCCCGUUUGUUCCGCCA